UAUGGCUACUUCACCUCAUAUCGUGCAUAAUCUGAAGGUCUUAAGUCAACUCCAAGGCACUUAACCAUACAAUAAUGGAAUUUUCGAUGACCAAAACAAGACAUGUAAUACGACUUACUCGUCGAUUGCAUUAACUUAGGAGCUUCUAUUUUCUACAGAACGAUGGGACUGAAUACCUCAAACGAGGAGACUGGACACCUCAGUACGUGACAUAAAUUUCCAGUCGAUAAAUGUGAACUUUCCCGAGAGAAAGGCGAGCUAACUGAUGUUCUGGCACUGCUGACCAGUGCAUCGACACAGCAUGAAAGAAAAAAUGGUGCUGAUCGGCGGAUUUCCUCUCUGCUGAAUAAGCACAUGACAACGAUAAACAGUGGGUUCCAGGCCGUAAAAUUGGAUGUCUUCCGUCACAGCAUUGAAAUUACCACAAGCAUGCACACUCUUUCCAAGAAAUGAACAAAUAUUUGUGGAGGAAUCCAUAGUGCAACACACAACAACUUCGCUAUUUCACUCCACAUAAAACGGACAACACUAACUGCUUGCCAUGCACAUGGACGCAAUAAUGAAAGAGACUUGAUUAAACCAAGCAUUGUUGAAUAUGCACAGUAUUUGAUAUUUGUACCACUUUUUAUAACUUGUUUUCCUAUUAGUUAUUUGUAUUAGUAUGUGUAGAUAUAAUAAGGUAAAGCUGACAUCUCCACUUAACACG